rnacentral:rRNA from 1 species
GGGAGUGAAAUAGAACCUGAAACCCUGCACUUACAAGCUGUGGAAGCACAUUUCUUGUGUGACCGCGUACUUUUUGUAGAACGGGCCAACGAGUUACGUUAAGUAGCAAGGUUAAGCACUUAAGGUGCGGAGCCGUAGCGAAAGCGAGUUUUAACUGAGCGUUCAGUUACUUGACGUAGACCCGAAACCGGGCGACCUACCCAUGAGCAGGAUGAAGCGAAAGUAAAAUUGCGUGGAGGUCCGAACCCACGAGCGUUGAAAAGCUCGGGGAUGACUUGUGGGUAGCGGUGAAAUUCCAAUCGAGCCCGGAGAUAGCUGGUUCUCCCCGAAAUAGCUUUAGGGCUAGCCUCAAGGUGAGAGAUACGGAGGUAGAGCACUGAAUGUCCUAGGGGGUAUUGCACCUA